rnacentral:lncRNA from 1 species
UGGAGAUUUAAUUGGUAUAGAAAAUGAACCCAAUCAAGAUCCUAGAUGACCACAGAUGGCUGUCCUGUUAGCCAAGGAGCACCAGCCACCAUCAGAAUAGGAAGAAGCCAGAAUGGAUCCCCAGAUCCUCUAGGGAACACAGUCUCUGAAUGCAUUUCAACCGUUAACAUCCACUUCAGAGUUAAAAAAAAAAAAAAAAAAAAAAAAAAAAAAAAAAAAACCAACUGUAGUUUCAAGGCUAACCACAAUUGUGGUGAUGUUACAGAUGUCACAGGACCAGAACACACUGUACAGGCAUGGCGUCUCACACCAGUGACUUUCCUUUACAGGGCACAUGCCCCAGGCCGUCUUGAGCACACCUCUGGCAGUGCUUGCUUCAACGGUCUGCACACAUUACCUUCAGAGGAGUAAUUCCUCACACUAAAACCGUUCUGUGUCUUAGCUGGGGUUUAUGGGAAGACGGAAGGCGUGUGACAACUGCCAACGGCUCAUGUGUGUGCUUCCAGUACACUCUGUGUGUCUGUGUGUGCGCGCACACACACACUUUGGCUUCCAGAAAAACUAUGCUAAGCAAUUUAAACCUCGCCGCGCAUGAACUGCCAUUGACGUCGUUCUCAUCACGAGCCACUGAAGCAGAUGCUGUUAACUAGUGACUCCUGUGUCAGUGGAAGAAACUGGGGUUCAGAGUCUACGUUUGUUUUCUAUCACACUAGCUAGCUCAUAGGUGAGAGCUAAGACCUGGAUAUAGAUCUGUUUCCAACUCUCUAGCCUACCCCUUAAGAAAAUCUGAGGGCCAAUGAGAUGACCCGGUCUGAA